CACAAGGGGUGAAGCCUGCGGUUCAAUUGGAGUCAACGCCAGAAAUCUUACCCGGAGAGACAGCAGAAUGAAGGUCAAGCUGAAGACUUUACCAGACAAGCUGAGAGGUGGUGCAUGGCCGUCGCCAGCUCGUGCCGUGAGAUGUCCUGUUAAGUCAGGUAACGAGCGAGAUCCCUGCCUCUAGUUGCCACCAUUACUCUCAGGAGUAGUGGGGCGAAUUAGCGGGACCGCCGCAGUUAAUGCGGAGGAAGGAAGGGGCCACGGCAGGUCAGUAUGCCCCGAAACUCUGGGGCCACACGCGGGCUGCAAUGGUAACGACAAUUGGUUUCGAAUCCGAAAGGAUGAGGUAAUCCUCAAACGUUACCACAGUUAUGACUGAGGGCUGCAACUCGCCCUCACGAAUAUGGAAUCCCUAGUAACUGCGUGUCAUUAUCGCGCGGUGAAUACGUCCCUGCUCCUUGCACACACCGCCCGUCGUUUCAUUGAAGUGAGCUUUUAGCGAGGUGACGUCUAAUUGGCGUUAUCGAACUUGAGGUUCGUGACAAGGGAAAAGUCGUAACAAGGUGACCGUAGGGGAACCUGCGGUCGGAUCACCUCCUU
rnacentral:rRNA from 1 species